CCCUUUGGACUUUUCCUCUAGGUUCCCGUGCUAACCUCUUCUGUGAGCUCACUCUGCCCCUCCUCCCUUUAAUUCUCUCGAGGUUAUCCAUUCGCUUAAAACAUUGCUUCUGGU
rfam:Vicugna pacos cont1.570142, whole genome shotgun sequence.